rnacentral:rRNA from 1 species
CGUUACUCGGGGCAGGGUGAGUCGACCCCUAAGGCGAUGCCGAAAGGCGUAGUCGAUGGGAAAGAGGUUAAUAUUCCUGUACUUGGUGUUACUGCGAAGGGGGGACGGAGAAGGCUAUGUUAGCCGGGCGACGGUUGUCCCGGUUUAAGCAUGUAGGCGGAGGUUCCAGGUAAAUCCGGUACCUUUUUAACGCUGAGGUGUGAUGACGAGGCACUACGGUGCUGAAGUAACAAAUGCCCUGCUUCCAGGAAAAGCCUCUAAGCAUCAGGUAACACGAAAUCGUACCCCAAACCGACACAGGUGGUCAGGUAGAGAAUACCAAGGCGCUUGAGAGAACUCGGGUGAAGGAACUAGGCAAAAUGGUGCCGUAACUUCGGGAGAAGGCACGCUGAUAUGUAGGUGAAGUGAUUUACUCAUGGAGCUGAAAUCAGUCGAAGAUACCAGCUGGCUGCAACUGUUUAUUAAAAACACAGCACUGUGCAAACACGAAAGUGGACGUAUACGGUGUGACGCCUGCCCGGUGCCGGAAGGUUAAUUGAUGGGGUUAUCCGUAAGGAGAAGCUCUUGAUCGAAGCCCCGGUAAACGGCGGCCGUAACUAUAACGGUCCUAAGGUAGCGAAAUUCCUUGUCGGGUAAGUUCCGACCUGCACGAAUGGCGUAAUGAUGGCCAGGCUGUCUCCACCCGAGACUCAGUGAAAUUGAACUCGCUGUGAAGAUGCAGUGUACCCGCGGCAAGACGGAAAGACCCCGUGAACCUUUACUAUAGCUUGACACUGAACACUGGUCCUUGAUGUGUAGGAUAGGUGGGAGGCUUUGAAGUGUGGACGCCAGUCUGCAUGGAGCCAUCCUUGAAAUACCACCCUUUAAUGGCUGGUGUUCUAACGUGGACCCGUAAUCCGGGUUGCGGACAGUGUCUGGUGGGUAGUUUGACUGGGGCGGUCUCCUCCUAAAGAGUAACGGAGGAGCACGAAGGUUAGCUAAUCCUGGUCGGACAUCAGGAGGUUAGUGCAAAGGCAUAAGCUAGCUUGACUGCGAGAGUGACGGCUCGAGCAGGUGCGAAAGCAGGUCUUAGUGAUCCGGUGGUUCUGAAUGGAAGGGCCAUCGCUCAACGGAUAAAAGGUACUCCGGGGAUAACAGGCUGAUACCGCCCAAGAGUUCAUAUCGACGGCGGUGUUUGGCACCUCGAUGUCGGCUCAUCACAUCCUGGGGCUGAAGUAGGUCCCAAGGGUAUGGCUGUUCGCCAUUUAAAGUGGUACGCGAGCUGGGUUUAGAACGUCGUGAGACAGUUCGGUCCCUAUCUGCCGUGGGCGCUGGAGAAUUGAGGGGGGCUGCUCCUAGUACGAGAGGACCGGAGUGGACGCAUCACUGGUGUUCGGGUUGUCAUGCCAAUGGCAUUGCCCGGUAGCUAAAUGCGGAAGAGAUAAGUGCUGAAAGCAUCUAAGCACGAAACUUGCCCCGAGAUGAGUUCUCCCUGAGACUUUAAGUCUCCUGAAGGAACGUU